GCUUACUUCAGCAAUGUAUAUACUAAAAUUGGAACAAUACAGAGAAGAUUAGCAUGGCACCUGUGCAAUGGUGACAUGCAAAUUUGUGAAGCAUGUCUUUUUUAA